rnacentral:rRNA from 1 species
AGUGAACGCUGGCGGUAGGCCUAACACAUGCAAGUCGAACGGCAGCACAGGAGAGCUUGCUCUCUGGGUGGCGAGUGGCGGACGGGUGAGGAAUACAUCGGAAUCUUCUUUUUCGUGGGGGAUAACGUAGGGAAACUUACGCUAAUACCGCAUACGACAUACGGGUGAAAGCAGGGGACCUUAGGGCCUUGCGCGAUUGAAUGAGCGGAUGUAGGAUUAGCUAGUUGGCGGGGUAAGGGCCCACCAAGGCGACGAUCCGUAGUUGGUCUGAGAGGAUGAUCAGCCACACUGGAACUGAGACACGGCCCAGACUCCUACGGGAGGCAGCAGUGGGGAAUAUUGGACAAUGGGCGCAAGCCUGAUCCAGCCAUACCGCGUGGGUGAAGAAGGCCUUCGGGCUGUAAAGCCCUUUUGUUGGGAAAGAAAUCCAGCUGGCUAAUACCCGGUUGGGAUGACGGUACCCAAAGAAUAAGCACCGGCUAACUUCGUGCCAGCCGCCGCUGUAA